UAAGUAUUUGACCUUCGGGGCCCACGGU
rnacentral:sRNA from 1 species